CCCGCCCACAACAAUACCCCACAUGGUGCCUGUGAACAAAGGAAUAAACAAUGUGAUCUUUUUCCCUGCAACAUAAUACAAGUACUCUCCACUCUGGCUGUAAAAGCAGUUCAAUGCUGUCAUGAGCUGAAUCAACACAUCCCAUGUUGGUCUCUGUCAAACGGGCCACAGAGAACACAAGCAGAGUGAUUGCAGACCACGGCGCCGCUCUCUCUGCCCUUAAACACGCCUGUAGCGCUCCUCAAGGUCCCCCGUGAUGCCCGAGGCAGUGGAGGAACUCAGAUGAACACAGGCUCAAUCCGGUGCCUCCGCCGAAGCCUCUCCACCCAUAUGUUUAUGAUGAGAGGAGCUCGACAUGCUCUGGCUUUUAUUUCCCUUUUCCGCGGAGACAUCGAUCUGAACCUUCAGCAACCUGCAAUUUG